rnacentral:lncRNA from 10 species
GCAGGACGGCCCCAGGGUUGGCCUGUGCUGAUGGUGCCACCUGGUGGUAGACAUGGGAACGCCCUCACCUGAGAUUUCCUCUCCGUGACCCUUCUUCCCCCUCUAGGGGUCCUGGGCUGCCCUGAGGCCACCGCCUAGCAAGAUCAAGAUAGGGCUUGAGCGGCAGUGGGAUAGGGCAGUGGGGGUUCCGGGGGGGUCCGGUGCAGGCAGAACCAAGAGUGUGCCGGCGGAGGGCUGUCGGUACAGGGUGCAGGGCGUGGCGGCUGCAGGACCUCAGCUUGCCUCUUUAAAUCCCUUCCUGGGCACCGCGGUGGCCCGGCCCUUUCCCCUCGUGCUGUUUCUGCUGGAAACGCCGCACAGUCUCCUCGGGGGCAGCCGCCAGCGGAAACGGUUAUUGGCCGCCAGGCAAGCCAGUCCCAUCCUUCCCAGCAACUGGGACUUUCCGGGCAGGGCUCCCCAGCGCGGGUUCAGCUAAUUAAGGAAGCAAUUAGCCUCCCCUGAGGCUAUUCAUGCUUCCUCACCCACAGUUCUCAGGUUCUGUGAGACCAGAGCCUCAGUCUCCCGUGAGCAGAGGGUGUGUGUGUGGCUGCCACUAUUCUGCAGACACGCUGGCUCCACCCCAGAGAGUUGCAGGGCCAGGAAAUCUGCAUUUAAACAGACCCUGGCUCUCACACUUCGGAAACUGCCCGAAGCACCUCUCAAAUAUGGGACAGGUGCUUAGGCCGAAAAUCAGGAAUCUCUUGAAUGAAUGCAUGAAGGUGGAGCCCUUUCCCUUAAUGCGCAGGUGAAAAGGGCACCUCGGUGGAUUCUACUAAAUUUAAUAGAAGACCCAAGACGGGGUGGGGGAGACGUGCUUUGUGCUCACCUGGCUGGUUCAUGGGCAGGUGGCCUGGAGGACCCAGCCCUGGCAGCUGUGGGGUAGCUCCAGCCUGGGCCGGACAGCUUCUUUCAUCGCAGGCACCACUGCGGACAUUGCUGGGAGGAAGAGGAGGGAGAAGCGACGGGCUUCAUUAGGAACGGAAAUGCCAAGAUUAGUGAAAGAAUGAAAAGAGUCAAAACAGCCUAGAAAAGGCUUCAAUGAUCCUCAAACUGGAUGAUCGAAUCCCGAAUAAUUGGGAAUCAACAGUAAAGGCCAAAGCUUUCGAUGGAUUGGACGAGGCGCGUCCACCCUGGGGAGGGCCAUCAUUUUAUUCAGUCUACUGAUGCAAAUGCUUAUCUCUUCUGGAAACACCUUCACAGACAGACCCAGAAUAUAGUUGAACCAAAUACUGGGCACCUCAUGGCUCCAACAGGUUGACACAAAAAAUGAACCAUUGCAGAAAACGAAGAACAGUCACCAACUCCCACCCAUGCAGCUGGCUCAUUUGCUGGGCUGCCCUCCCCAGCAGGUGGCACAGGAAUCCCUGCCUUGGCAGGGAGGAGGCCUGGGGUGUGUGCAGGUACCCAUGGGAAGUUUCUUUGCCAUGGGGAAAGCCAGAGUCACCCCUUGCUUGAACACAAGAGUUGGAGGUUUCAGUGAGCUGAGAUUACGCUAUUGCACUCCAGCCUGGGCGGCAGAGUGAGACUCUGUCUCUAGAUAAAUAAAUUAAAUAAAUAAAUAAAUAUAAUUUAAUAUAAAUAACUAGAAAUUUUUCAAUACUUGCAUCUCUGUAGGUUACCUCUGGAAGUGCAGGGCUUUGUCUUUUUGGAUUAACUCAGAAAUUAGACCUUCAGAAAACAACAUCAGCUCUGAUUCUCUGCACCCUUGAUGCUGCCGGUGGCGACUGCGGCUUCCUGAUGGAAAUGUAGACCUGAACAUAAGUCGCAGAAAAAUGCAGACUUGAGUUGGAGCUAAGCUGACUCAGCCUCGCGGUGACCGCAGCCCUGGCUGACACCUUGCUUGCAGCCUGGUGAGAGACAGCAGCCCGAGGACCCUGCUAAGCUGCACCCAGGCUCCUGACCCAUGGAAACUGUGAGAUGAUAAACAUGUACUGCUUAAGCUGAGAUUCGGGCUAAUUUGUUACACAGUCAUAGACAUCGUUUUUUGUUGUUGUUGUUUUUUGAGAUGGAGUCUCACUCUGUCGCCCAGGCUGGAGUGCAGUGGCACAAUCUCAGCUCACUGCAACAUCCACCUCCCAGGUUCAAGCGAUUCUCGUGCCUCAGCCUCCCAAGUAGCUGGGAUUACAGGCAUCUGCCACCAUGCCCGGCUAAUUUUUUUGUAUCUUUAGGAGAGACAGGGUUUCACCAUGUUGGCCAGCUGGUCUCAAACUCCUGAGCUCAAGAGAUCUGCCCACCUUGGCCUCCCAAAGUGCUGGGAUUACAGGCAUGAGCCACUGUGCCCGGCCUGUUACACAGUCAUAGACAUCUAUAAAAUACUCAACACGGUGCCGGCGCAUGGCAAGCAUCAGUUACUGACCACGGUGACCCUUCUGUGUACACCAGGGGAACUCAAAAUACUCAGGAAAUCUAAGCAUAUAAGCCUAGUCACCAGGCUGUCGACAUGACCCUUAACAAUGAACCUGUGUCUUUUGCCACCUCAUGAUGUCAUAGAAGAAGAGCAGCAUCAAUGUUAAGAGUCUGGAGGAGGGACUAGAUGCUGUGGCUCACACCUGUAAUCCCAGCACUUUGGGAGGCCGAGGCAGGUGGAUCACCU